CAUGUGCUUUUUAAAACAAACACUCUGUUAAUUUAGGGGUUUCAGCUGAACCAUGGAAAUCUGUAAAUAUUCAUAGCAGACAAUAUAGUUGUCCUUAGUUCCUCUUUUGUGAAGGAGCAAUCCCCCAACAUCAUCUUCACUUGAAAAAUACCAGCCUGUCAGGCAGGGAUACAUGCACUUACUGAUUAAUACCUCUGAGUUAUAGUUUUAAAGAACACAAUUACAAAUUUGCAAAAGGAAAACUGUCCAGAUGAUUGUAAUUCUGUGCAUAUAUAAUUAACAAAAUCCUGGAAACAUUAAGGACCACAGACUGGCAUUUGCACUCAUUUCUCUCAGAUGGGGAGUGAGUUUCUCCAGUUAUUUAGCAGACUGGUAACUGUGGAAUGGUUUAGGUUGGAAGGGACCCUAAAAAUCACUUGGAUCCAACCCUCUCCCAUGGGCAGGGACACCACCCACUAGAUCAGUAUUUUUACUAAACCUGAGACCUAAAUCAAGUCUCAAGUUCUUGAAAUCACUCUUAAGCUUUUAAUUGCUGCUUGCAGCCAUUUCAUUUCUGACUUUUUCAACCUCCCUCCCUUUCCACCACCACCACAAAGGAGAUCAGGACAUCAGAAAUCCUGAUUACACCUCAGGCAGCCCCUGCAAACACUUCAGAACCAAAUUUGUUGCCUGCUGCACUUGAAGCAGACAUGACAACCACAGCUGCAGAAAUCCUUUCCACACUGGCUGAAGCAUCAGUCUCCCCUACUGCUGGACCUGCAGAUGUAACCACAACAACAGUCUCUCCUAGUACUACACCAGCAGACAUUACCACUACAACAGUCUCUCCUACUGCUGGACCUGCAGAUGUGACCACAA